AGGAUGUGGCUGCGGCCGAUUAGGUAGACGGUGGGGUAACGGCCCACCGUGCCAAUAAUCGGUACGGGUCAUGAGAGUGAGAACCCGGAGACGGAAUCUGAGACAAGAUUCCGGGCCCUACGGGGCGCAGCAGGCGCGAAACCUUUACACUGCACGACAGUGCGAUAAGGGAAUCCCAAGUGCGUAGGCAUAGAGCCUACGCUUUUGUCCACCGUAGGGAGGUGGACGAAUAAGGGCUGGGCAAGACCGGGGCCAGCCGCCGCGGUAAUACCGGCAGCCCGAGUGAUGGCCGAUCUUAUUGGGCCUAAAGCGUCCGUAGCUGGCCGCGCAAGUCUAUCGGAAAAUCCACCCGCUCAACGGGUGGGCGUCCGGUAGAAACUGCGUGGCUUGGGACCGGAAGGCGCGACGGGUACGUCCGGGGUAGGAGUGAAAUCCUGUAAUCCUGGACGGACCGCCGAUGGCGAAAGCACGUCGCGAAGACGGAUCCGACAGUGAGGGACGAAAGCUAGGGUCUCGAACCGGAUUAGAUACCCGGGUAGUCCUAGCCGUAAACAAUGCCUGUUAGGUGUGGCUCCCACUACGAGUGGGUGCUGUGCCGUAGGGAAGCCGCUAAACAGGCCGCCUGGGAAGUACGUCCGCAAGGAUGAAACUUAAAGGAAUUGGCGGGGGAGCACUACAACCGGAGGAGCCUGCGG
rnacentral:rRNA from 1 species